GUUCACUAUGGAGCCUCCUGUUCCUCUGGCCUUCAUACCCCGAGCCACGAUCUACCCACACAGAGAGACAGAGAACGCACAACCCUGGAAUUAAUGGAAUUGGCUCGGGAAAUUCAAACAAAGGAACCAAUUCAGGGAAGUUGAAUUGCUGGUCGAAAUGCUGAAAACUAAAUAAUACAUCAAUGGUGAAACGGAGGACAAGAGAAGAUGAGAGGAAAAAUAUCACAUCCUGACUCGAGUCUGAGUCAGAC